rnacentral:lncRNA from 1 species
GCACAUUGCAAAUAUAGAGAGGUCCACUGUUAAAUGGAACACUUGAGUGCAGAGCAUAUCCGGAUUUUCCUCUCUUGCAAGAGUACAAUCACCUAGAUUUGCAGCACAUAACUAGUAAUUAAUAGCUCCGACACCUUCCAACACACCUGUGCAGUGCACUGACAUUGCUUCCACAGCCACUUGCAGCUGGGGCACCAGCAAUGCGAGAGCUACACAUUUGAGUGUUCCGUUUAACAGUGGACUGGACUGUACCUGACACAAUCUAGCAUAACAAAGAAAGGGCCAACAGGAGAUGCUCACAUUUCGC